rnacentral:rRNA from 1 species
AGCAGCCGCGGUAAUUCCAGCUCCAAUAGCGUAUAUUAAAGUUGUUGCAGUUAAAAAGCUCGUAGUUGAACUUCGGGGUUUACCCAUUGGUCAGGCUUAAUUGUCUGUACUGGUGAGAUAAAUCUCUACCUUCUGAGGAACUUUCAUGUCAUUAAUUUGGUGUGAUUGGAAAUCAGGACUGUUACUUUGAAAAAUUAGAGUGUUUAAAGCAGGCUAACGUCUGAAUACAUUAGCAUGGAAUAAUGAAAUAGGACGGCUUGAUUCUAUUUCGUUGGUUUCUAGGAUCACCGUAAUGAUUAAUAGGGAUAGUUGGGGGCAUUAGUAUUCAAUUGUCAGAGGUGAAAUUCUUGGAUUUAUUGAAGACUAACUACUGCGAAAGCAUUUGCCAAGGAUGUUUUCAUUAAUCAAGAACGAAAGUUAGGGGAUCGAAGACGAUCAGAUACCGUCGUAGUCUUAACCAUAAACUAUGCCGACUAGGGAUCGGACGAAGUUAAUUUUAUAACGACGCGUUCGGCACCUU